UGGGGAAUCAUGGUCAAUGGGCGAAAGCCUGAACCUGCGACGCCGCGUGAGUGAUGAAGGUCGUAAGAUCGUAAAACUCUUUUCAGGGAUCUUAAAGCCUGUCUGUCAACAACAGGCAGGUCUGACUCUCCCUGGAAGAAGCCCCAGCCAACUACGUGCCAGCAGCUGCGGUAAUAAGUAGGGGGCGAGCGUUAUUCGGAAUUACUGGGUGUAAAGGGUAUGUAGGCGGCCCUUCAAGUCCCGUGUCAAAGUCCAGUGCUCAACGCUGGGUGUGCGCGCGGUACUGACGGGCUUGAGGGCUGGAGAGGUGAGCGGAAUUCCCGGUGUAGUGGUAAAAUACGUAGAGAUCGGGAGGAACACCAGCGGCGCAGGCGGCUCACUAGACAGUUUCUGACGCUAAGGUACGAAAGCGUGGGGAGCAAACA
rnacentral:rRNA from 1 species